rnacentral:sRNA from 1 species
GGUGGGAUUCGGGAUGAAGUGAUUGACCUUCUCCCCCAUCACGGCCCAGGUGCGUUUCCCGUCCUGCACCAUCUGGACGCCGCGCCGCUUGAACUCCUU